rnacentral:tRNA from 1 species
CGGGACGUGGCGCAGCUUGGUAGCGCACCCGCUUUGGGAGCGGGGGGUCGCAGGUUCAAAUCCUGUCGUCCCGAC